UCCGUUCUCCCCCAUGCCACCCAAUAGUGCCUGACUGAGGGUGAACCAGUGAGAGAAGGAGGGUCACCAGUCCAGGUGUUGCUAGGAGACAGUCUAUUUAUUGGAGCCCUUUAGUCUCAGUUUAGUUUUGAUAAGUGACAUGCAAUAACAUCACACACUGUCAAGAGAGCUGGUCAUAAAUCACGCUCUGUCUUUCAUCUUCCACCCUACUGUGCAAGUGCGCUCUUCACAAAAAUAGUUCAAUUGGACAGUGUUUGUGUCUGUGUUUCUGAUGUAAACAGUGACUUUUUACAUAUCUCUUGGAGGCUUCUUGUAUAGGUUUGCUUUAUAGAUUGAUACACACCCCUCGUUUUGAAUGAUCUUAAAUUCUUUGUGCGUUUUACCAUGGAUGAUGGAUGUCUUUAAUACUUUUUGAAUGUCCCUUAGCUUUGCUGACAGCUCAGGCAAAGGACAAAUUUAUGGCGUCUCUUGUGACGUGUAAAAACUCUCACAAACAGACCUUGCAACUCACCUUGCAGCUGUCUGUUUCUUUUAAUAUGGUGUCUUAUAAAUCAAAUGAUGUCAGUGCAUUAAAACCAUUAGAAGUGCACUAAAAAGACAAUGCUUGUUGUGAUUAUGCAUUGCGUUUGUUUUCUAUAUGGCAAUUUUUCAUUUUUGUGUGUUCUUGUGUGUCGUUGUACACACUCUUUGUGUCUGUUUGUGUGCAGUAGUGAUGUAUGGUGUGGCUCACAAAUGCUCAUAACGUUUUAUUUUUCUCUAUCGACCAGCUCUGCAAAAAGCACUUCACGCGACAUGGCCAACAAGGACGUGAUAAUUUUAAAAGCACUUUGAGGAAUGGUGUCCAGUAAAACACCAGUCAUCAUCAGUCUGGCAAGGGGUAAGCUGCCUCAAAGUGGCAGAAAAGCUGUGUUGACCCUCCUACCAAAAAAAAAGGAGAUCUUGGAGAUAUAAGAUUUAAGAUGUCUUUUAGAGGACGCUUAUAAUUAAGUGGCCUUUUCGUUGUGGCACAAGUUUGCUUGUUUGGACCCCUGUUAAGUCUGCUAACAAAACCUUUAAUCCACGGUAAACGAUUGGAUUUAACAAACAAUUUCUUUCUUCCCGGACUAAGGAAGUUUGCAAAUGCAUGUCUAAAUGUGAACUGCAGCCAUUGUUUGCCGUGAUCCAAACUGUGCUGUCAUUGCCACACAUGCUCAAGCUCUGGCUGAAAAGGUACAUGCCAUUCCUGACAGGAGGCCAGCAGUGCAGCUUGGCGCCACAUUCGUGCCAAGAUCGUUUGCUAUGUGUGAUUGAAAGAGGGACUCGAGCCAUGACUAAAGACAAGAAAAUCAGAGAGGUUUUGAGCAAGAGCAAGUUUUGCAGUAUUCUGAAUGUAGUUCAGUAAUUCAAUUCAUGUAAUUUAAAUGUAUUAUUAAAUAAAAAAAAAAAAAAAAAAAAAAAAAAAA